GCCGGCGCUGACCCCUCCCGCGCGCCCGCCCCGCUCCGGUCCCCCUCCCGCCGCCAGCGGGUGCUCCGCGGGCGCGGAGAGGAGCGCGCGGCAGCCGGGACCUACCUGUCUGCGGUGCGCCCGCUUGGCUGCGCCCGGGAGCACGGGCCAGGCGGUGGGGCCGAGCUGCGCCCUCCCGGAGCCGCGCUUGUCUGUCCGCCCGCCCUCCCGGCACUUCCGCAUCACCGCCCCCGCCCCUGGGCCGAGGCCGCCGAGCCUGGGUGCGCGGGCAGCGCCCCGCCCUGCCCCGCGAAGCCACCGUGGGGUCCCCGCGCAGACCCAGCGACCGAGGGGCCGGGCUGAGCCUCGGGCCAGGCUGGUCCCCCUGCAGCCCAGGGCCUGGGGGAGACGCCAGGCGGCGAGGUAGCCUUGAGAACUUGCUGGCGAGACACUGGGCUCUGGACUCCAACAGGGCUGAGUCACACCCUGGCUCUACCACUCGGGAAUUGUGUGACUUUGAGCAAACCUCGGACUCUCUUGGAAACCCCAUUUUCUGCCUGUAAGACUAUUCUCCUCCCUUUCUCCUGGAGCAGCACUUCCAAAGCUGCAGGGAGGCUGACGUGACCUGACAGCUUGUCCAGGGGCCAUCACCGGCGGUGGAGGUUGGGGUGAGAUGGGAAGAAGAAAGGGACACCUGCUCAGCAAACUUUUGCUUCCAGCCACCAAAGGCAGAGGGAAAACCAAGCUGCUGCUAUUGACAGUACAACCUGAAGGAGCCAGAAUGUUCCUGUUCUAAAGAAAGUACUGGAUUUUGGUGAGGAUGGUGGCAUCUGGUUCCACUAGCCCAGCAGAGAAAUGUGAGCCCUUUAUUCCAAGCCUGACGUUUGAGUGCACCUGCGGUCGGUCGUGUGCUCAUGCCCCUCCCUCUGCCAGCAUCCACAUUCCCCUUCCCUUGGUCUGGGCCGGGCAUUCUGGCCAUCGCUAUUCCUGAUUCAUUCAUCCCUGUAUUCCUGUAUCUGGCUCAAUACCUGGCAGCAAAGAGGCUCACGGUGGAAACUCAGCUGCUCUCCAAAUAACACCCUUUCCUCUGGGCUCUGGGAUUUUAUUUCACAGAGCGAGUUUUCCAGACGCUUCUGUACCUUCUGUUGCAGAUAAAGAAUGUGAAUAUUGCCUUUUCAGGUUGGGCCUCAGCGGGAGAU